rnacentral:lncRNA from 1 species
UUGCAUUUAUCUAUGUAUAUACGUAUAGUUAUCUUAUUAAUUAAUUUAUUUAAUUUUUCUUUAUCUGUUUUAAUUAUUUAUCUUUGUUUAUCAUUUAAAAAAAGUAAAUAAUUAAAAAUUAAAGGUUGAUUUGGAUUAGUUAUGGAAUCUUCAUUUCCAAAAGAUAAUCCAUUUUAAAAAAGGAUUUCCUUAGGUGUCAAUCCAAUAUAGAUUGUUUUCUUGAGGAAUCCAAGAUCAAUUGAAAUAUUGAUCAUGUUUAGACUCUCUUCUAUAAAAGGUUUAGAAUCAACAAAACGAGAAAAAGACACAAAAAAGAAUUACACAGAAAAAAUCAUAGUGAUCAGAGAGGAAAUACAGAAAAAAGAGACCAAGACAAUAGAGGAAGUGCAAAAUAGUUUUUGGUAUUGGAAAUUUUUGUUUUAGUUUGCAUCUAAGUUUUUUGGGAAACGGGGAACACAAUUAACACUAAAAAACACAGCAGCAAUAGAACCGCAAAGCAAGAACAAAAGCCCAGAAGCACAGAAGUUUCAGCUUCUAGUUUAACAGCCACUCAAUUUCAAUACAAAUCCCAACACCCAGUUUUCAAUCAAUCCACUUCUAACCAUGAAAUCCACAUACAGUUAGUACCUAAAGCCUAAAAUUGCCUAGCAACCAAAGUAAACAUUUAUUGUUUAGGCAAAAAAAUUUAGAUAGACACAAUCAAAUAUUCAAAACCCAAAUACAACCACAAAACCACGUUAGGAAAAAUAAUCCACCACUUAAGAAACCAGAAAACGAAGUUAGAAAAGUUUGUAGUUUUGUCCCAGCAAAGGCGGCUCCAACGAAGGUCCAUGGUGGAGAGUGUUGUUUGGAAAUCGAAACGAUUGAAAGGGAGAACGAAGGAUGGUGAAUAGUAUAUCUGAAAAUUAACCUGAUUAGACGAUGGAAAUAGGCUAAGCCAGUGAAAAAAGUCACAGCUUGUAGCUCCAGAUCCUAGGCUUUUGAAAAGGAUUCACAAAAAUCCGAGCCAAUAUCCAACACGAGAAGAUAAAGGUGAACUUUCUAGUGAAAUUUGAAAGCCAACUAGUGCAGUGAGUAGCUAUCAAUGGCAACCAGAGGAGUGGCAGUGAUAGCGACGGAGUGCUGCCAAAUUCUAGAAAUUUAAAGAACACGGUGGUCGUGUUCUUGGUUCUUAAAUUUUUUAAAAAAGCUUAGAGAAAAAAGAGAGAAUAUACAAGGGUAGAAAGGGAAAGUGAAACAAGGAAAGGUAAGAGAAAAAAAGGGCUGCUGGUUAUUUAAGGAAGUACAAAAUGGUGACGUUUUGACAUUAAAGACUGGGUAUCUUUAACCCGCUUUGAAGGUUGUGCGUCGAUCCAUGGGCGACCCAACUUGGUUACCAUCUAACCUACUUCAUCAUCCAACUGAGCCGUUUAAUCCUUUCGUUGAGCCCUCUAAGCCACACCUUAGUCUAGAG